CCCAGCUUUUCUCCUGACCUACUUGCUGCCAGUUUGGUUGCAACUUAGAUUCACACCACCAAAUUUUGGGUUCAAAGAUCCAAUUCAUGGGACAGUGUUCACUCUCUUUGUCAUUAUAACACCGAAUUCGUGUCCAAGAGAUAGGAAGAGCA